AAAUUAUUUGGAUUUUCCAGUUUUUCCAUUAAUAAAAUAAUUUUUAUCAUCAGAGUUAGUACUUCUUAAAAAUCACCUUUGCUUUAUGAAGCGGAAUCCCUGAAAUUUGUAAGUAGCCUUCUGAAACACAAUGGGGCAAGUGUAAAGUAGACGGCUAUUUAACAGAGAACCUCUGCUGAAGCCUCUCGUAAGGAAGUCACUAUGCACAGCCAACAUUGAAGAGAUGGGAGUUAUGCAUCAUCUAUUUGAAGAGAGGAAUGUCUACAUAAAUUACUUGGAAUUUUUCAGCCUUGGGAGAGCCAGGGUCUCACUGUGUUGCCCAGGCUGGUCUUGGACUCCUGGGCUCAAGGGAGCCUCCUGCCUCAGGACCACUGCACCAGGCAACUAAACCAUUUUCAUUGUAAGCCACCUCUUUGUGUGCUAAUCCUAUCUAUAAUUAGAUCGUAAACUCCUCAAAGGAAAGAAGUGUGUUUCAUGAUGCCGAUGAAAGCCUUCAUCAACCCCUCCCCAGACCACACGCAUAGCAUCCCUGGUCUUUUCCGGAAUGGUGUCUUUCAAGCUGCCUUCCGACCUGCUUCCUGCGUCACCUUCCUAAAGCACACGUGGGGCGGGGCUCUUGCUCACAAACAUCCAACGACAGAUGAUGAAACCAAACUGUUGAGAAUGAGAUUCCAGGCCAGCACUGUUCAUUACCGGUAUACGCAAGCCACAUAUGUAAUUUCAAAUUUUCUAGAAGCCACAUUGAAAAAAAAUAAAAAGGAACAGGCGAAAUGA